rnacentral:lncRNA from 1 species
AAGGCAGUUUGUCAUGCAUACCUGUAAAUAGAUUGAAAGUUUACUGAAGCAUGCUGGGUAAACACGACUCCGGUGUCUGUGCAUCUCCUGGAAUCCUGCCAAGUUCUUUAGAUUCAGGAGAUAUUUUUUUAUAAUGCCUAUGAAUUUAUGCUACAAAGACAACCUCGCCACUCCAGCCCCCUCCACUGUCACCCCUGAAAUUCCAUUUAGUUUCAAUUUUACUGCUCAUGCCUGGCUCUAUUUGAGCCGUACUCUGUGAAGGUGAAACGCCACCGCGCCGGCCCUGUAUUGAUUUAGAAGUCACCUGCAGCUUCUGGUUAGUGACCCAAGCAGAAAGUGCUGCCCUCGGACCAAGGUGAGGAUGCAAGCCUGGCUGAGCGAGGAGGUGCAGGUUGGGGCCCCCCGCCCUGGCCACACCCUCAGGGAGCACCCUGAGAGAAAAUCUUACAUUUUCCUCUUAAGACUUCUACCGAAGGAAGGUGACGAACUCCUAGGAACACGGAAAGAUCUGUCCUUUGACACCAGCUCCACUUCCGGAAGUGCGUCCCACGGGUGCACCCACGCAUGCGCACCCAGGGCCAUGUGUUCGUACUGCGGAGCCCUGAGCGGCGGAGGCGUGGCUCAGCGUCGUUCUCCUUUCCGGCCUGACCUCGUUCCUCUGCUGCGAGUGUCUGAUUCUAAAUCAGUGGGAGUUUUUGGAUUCCUCCAGGUGCUGUCCUUUGUAAAACCAAUCUCUCCAGUUGUCUAAGUGCAAAGAGACCUGAUUGUAUGAAGGAAGUGUACCAUUUCAGAUGAGCAGGGCGACGCAUUUGCUGCUUCUCUGUGUGGUCUUUCCUCUGCACGUGUCACCUUCCACCCAGCAUUUCCGGCCCCCUGCCUUCCCCACCACCCUCCUUUUCCUGCCGUGGAGACACAUGGGUGCUCCUGCAGCUGUCCUCAUCCCAGCUCCCCAACCCCGACCCU